AUGAACGCUAGCUACAGGCUUAACACAUGCAAGUCGAGGGGCAGCAUGAACUUAGCUUGCUAAGUUUGAUGGCGACCGGCGCACGGGUGAGUAACACGUAUCCAACCUGCCGAUGACUCGGGGAUAGCCUUUCGAAAGAAAGAUUAAUACCCGAUGGCAUAGUUCUUCCGCAUGGUAGAACUAUUAAAGAAUUUCGGUCAUCGAUGGGGAUGCGUUCCAUUAGGUUGUUGGCGGGGUAACGGCCCACCAAGCCUUCGAUGGAUAGGGGUUCUGAGAGGAAGGUCCCCCACAUUGGAACUGAGACACGGUCCAAACUCCUACGGGAGGCAGCAGUGAGGAAUAUUGGUCAAUGGACGAGAGUCUGAACCAGCCAAGUAGCGUGAAGGAUGACUGCCCUAUGGGUUGUAAACUUCUUUUAUACGGGAAUAAAGUGAGGCACGUGUGCCUUUUUGUAUGUACCGUAUGAAUAAGGAUCGGCUAACUCCGUGCCAGCAGCCGCGGUAAUACGGAGGAUCCGAGCGUUAUCCGGAUUUAUUGGGUUUAAAGGGAGCGUAGGCGGACGCUUAAGUCAGUUGUGAAAGUUUGCGGCUCAACCGUAAAAUUGCAGUUGAUACUGGGUGUCUUGAGUACAGUAGAGGCAGGCGGAAUUCGUGGUGUAGCGGUGAAAUGCUUAGAUAUCACGAAGAACUCCGAUUGCGAAGGCAGCUUGCUGGACUGUAACUGACGCUGAUGCUCGAAAGUGUGGGUAUCAAACAGGAUUAGAUACCCUGGUAGUCCACACAGUAAACGAUGAAUACUCGCUGUUUGCGAUAUACAGUAAGCGGCCAAGCGAAAGCGUUAAGUAUUCCACCUGGGGAGUACGCCGGCAACGGUGAAACUCAAAGGAAUUGACGGGGGCCCGCACAAGCGGAGGAACAUGUGGUUUAAUUCGAUGAUACGCGAGGAACCUUACCCGGGUUUGAACGCAUUUCGACCGCUCUGGAAACAGAGCCUCUAGCAAUAGCGAUUUGCGAGGUGCUGCAUGGUUGUCGUCAGCUCGUGCCGUGAGGUGUCGGCUUAAGUGCCAUAACGAGCGCAACCCUUAUCGAUAGUUACCAUCAGGUUAUGCUGGGGACUCUGUCGAGACUGCCGUCGUAAGAUGUGAGGAAGGUGGGGAUGACGUCAAAUCAGCACGGCCCUUACGUCCGGGGCUACACACGUGUUACAAUGGGGGGUACAGAGGGCCGCUACCACGCGAGUGGAUGCCAAUCCCUAAAACCCCUCUCAGUUCGGACUGGAGUCUGCAACCCGACUCCACGAAGCUGGAUUCGCUAGUAAUCGCGCAUCAGCCACGGCGCGGUGAAUACGUUCCCGGGCCUUGUACACACCGCCCGUCACACCAUGAGAGUUGGAAAUACCCGAAGCCUGUGAGCUAACAAACGAGGCAGCAGUCGAAGGUAGAGCCAAUGAUUGGGGUG
rnacentral:rRNA from 1 species